CCUACGGGGGGCUGCAGUAGGGAAUCUUCCGCAAUGGACGAAAGUCUGACGGAGCAACGCCGCGUGAGCGAAGAAGGCCUUCGGGUCGUAAAGCUCUGUUGUUAGGGAAGAACAAGUAGCGCAGUAACUGGCGUUACCUUGACGGUACCUACGGGAAAGCCACGGCUAACUACGUGCCAGCCGCCGCGGGAAUACGUAGGUGGCAAGCGUUGUCCGGGAUUAUUGGGGGUAAAGGGCGCGCAGGCGGUUCCUUAAGUCUGGUGUGAAAGCCCACGGCUCAACCGUGGAGGGUCAUUGGAAACUGGGGGACUUGAGUGCAGAAGAGGAGAGCGGAAUUCCACGUGUAGCGGUGAAAUGCGUAGAGAUGUGGAGGGACACCAGUGGCGAAGGCGGCUCUCUGGUCUGUAACUGACGCUGAGGCGCGAAAGCGUGGGGAGCAAACAGGAUUAGAUACCCGAGUAGUC
rnacentral:rRNA from 1 species